rnacentral:tRNA from 1 species
AGCCUAGUGGUUAAGGCUCUGGAUCGCCAAACCGGAGACGGCGGGUUCGAUUCCCGU